rnacentral:rRNA from 3 species
UUCGGUGGUUAUAGCGUUAGGGAAACGCCCGGUCACAUUCCGAACCCGGAAGCUAAGCCUUUCAGCGCCGAUGGUACUGCAGGGGGGACCCUGUGGGAGAGUAGGACACCGCCGAAC